CCAAUAUAGGGGAGCUUUGGUUCCCGCGGGGUGACUCGUGGGUGAAGAGGGAAGCCGGUGCAAGUCCGGCGCUGCCCCCGCAACUGUAAGCGGCAAGCUUCGGGUCCGGAUGCCACUGGCGCACAUGCGCCGGGAAGGUGGGCCCGAGCGUCCGAGCCGCGAAGUCAGGAGACCUGCCAAGGCACCAGAAACGAC
rnacentral:ncRNA from 2 species